GACAGAGGAGGAGAGCGUUAUCCGGAGUCAUUGGGCGUAAAGGGUACGUAGGCGGCUAGUCAAGUCUGAGGUUAAAGACCACAGCUUAACUGUGGGAAGGCCUUGGAAACUGACUGGCUAGAGUGGGGCAGGGGUUGCGGGAAUUCCCGGUGUAGCGGUGAAAUGCGUAGAUAUCGGGAAGAACACCUGAGGCGAAAGCGCGCAACUGGGCCCUGACUGACGCUGAGGUACUAAAGCUAGGGGAGGGAAUGGG
rnacentral:rRNA from 1 species